rnacentral:rRNA from 1 species
AUGGCGACGCGCCGGGCCCUCUCCUCGCUCCUCCGGUCGGCCUCCCGCGCGCGCGCGGCCUCCCCGUCGCCGCUCCCCCGCGCGGCCCCGCUCCACCGCCCGUCCCCGGCCGGCUACCUCUUCAACCGCGCCGCCAACUACGCCUCCGCCGCCGCCGCCGCCGAGGCCCCCGCCGAGAAGCUGCCCCCCACCUCCGACAAGUACGUCGGUGCCAAGAUCACCGACGAGUUCACCGGCGCCGGCUCCAUCGGCCAGGUCUGCCAGGUCAUCGGCGCCGUCGUCGACGUGCGCUUCGACGAGGGCCUCCCGCCCAUCCUCACCGCGCUCGAGGUGCUCGACAACAGCAUCCGCCUCGUGCUCGAGGUGGCGCAGCAUCUCGGCGAGAACGUCGUGCGCACCAUCGCCAUGGACGGGACCGAGGGGCUCGUGCGCGGCCAGAAAGUCCUCAACACCGGAUCCCCCAUCACUGUGCCUGUUGGGAGGGCCACCCUUGGACGUAUCAUUAACGUUAUUGGUGAGCCAAUUGACCACAAGGGUGACAUAAAGACACACGACUUCCUUCCUAUUCAUCGUGAGGCCCCUGCUUUUGUUGAGCAAGCCACAGAGCAGCAAAUUCUUGUUACUGGAAUUAAGGUCGUGGAUUUGCUUGCACCUUACCAAAGGGGUGGCAAAAUUGGUCUCUUCGGUGGUGCAGGAGUGGGUAAAACUGUUCUUAUUAUGGAGUUGAUCAACAAUGUUGCCAAGGCCCAUGGUGGUUUCUCUGUUUUCGCUGGUGUCGGAGAACGUACCCGUGAAGGUAAUGACUUGUACAGGGAAAUGAUUGAAAGUGGUGUCAUUAAGCUUGAUGAGAAGCAGGCUGAGAGCAAGUGUGCUCUUGUCUACGGGCAAAUGAACGAGCCCCCGGGUGCUCGUGCUCGUGUUGGUCUGACUGGUUUGACUGUUGCUGAACAUUUCCGUGACGCUGAAGGACAAGAUGUGCUCUUGUUUAUUGACAACAUUUUCCGUUUCACCCAGGCAAACUCUGAGGUGUCUGCUCUCCUUGGACGUAUUCCAUCUGCUGUGGGAUACCAACCAACUCUUGCCACCGAUCUUGGAGGACUGCAAGAGCGGAUUACGACGACAAAGAAGGGUUCUAUUACAUCUGUCCAGGCUAUUUAUGUGCCUGCUGAUGAUUUGACGGAUCCUGCUCCUGCUACCACCUUUGCCCAUCUUGACGCUACUACUGUGUUGUCACGACAGAUUUCUGAGCUGGGCAUUUACCCUGCUGUCGAUCCUUUGGACUCGACAUCAAGAAUGCUUUCUCCCCACGUUCUGGGUGUGGAUCACUACAACACUGCCCGUGGUGUCCAGAAGGUUCUUCAGAACUAUAAGAAUCUUCAGGAUAUCAUUGCCAUUUUGGGUAUGGAUGAGCUCAGUGAAGAUGAUAAGAUGACGGUUGCUCGUGCAAGGAAGAUCCAGAAGUUCCUGAGCCAGCCUUUCCACGUUGCCGAAGUUUUCACUGGUGCUCCAGGGAAGUAUGUGGAUCUUAAGGAGGGUGUUCAAAGUUUCCAGGGUGUUUUGGACGGCAAGUACGACGACAUCUCCGAGCACGCGUUCUACAUGGUUGGAGGCAUCGACGAAGUCAUCGCCAAGGCAGAGAAGAUCGCCAGCGAGAACGCUUGA